CGGACGGGUGAGUAAUGUAUGGGGAUCUGCCUGAUGGCGGGGGAUAACUACUGGAAACGGUAGCUAAUACCGCAUAAUGUCUACGGACCAAAGCGGGGGACCUCCGGGCCUCGCGCCAUCAGAUGAACCCAUAUGGGAUUAGCUAGUAGGUAAGGUAACGGCUUACCUAGGCGACGAUCCCUAGCUGGUCUGAGAGGAUGAUCAGCCACACUGGAACUGAGACACGGCCCAG
rnacentral:rRNA from 1 species